UGCAGUCGAGCGGAUGAGAGGAGCUUGCUCCUGGAUUCAGCGGCGGACGGGUGAGUAAUGCCUAGGAAUCUGCCUGGUAGUGGGGGACAACGUUUCGAAAGGAACGCUAAUACCGCAUACGUCCUACGGGAGAAAGCAGGGGACCUUCGGGCCUUGCGCUAUCAGAUGAGCCUAGGUCGGAUUAGCUAGUUGGUGAGGUAAUGGCUCACCAAGGCGACGAUCCGUAACUGGUCUGAGAGGAUGAUCAGUCACACUGGAACUGAGACACGGUCCAGACUCCUACGGGAGGCAGCAGUGGGGAAUAUUGGACAAUGGGCGAAAGCCUGAUCCAGCCAUGCCGCGUGUGUGAAGAAGGUCUUCGGAUUGUAAAGCACUUUAAGUUGGGAGGAAGGGCAGUAAAUUAAUACUUUGCUGUUUUGACGUUACCGACAGAAUAAGCACCGGCUAACUCUGUGCCA
rnacentral:rRNA from 1 species